UAGGGAAUCUUGCGCAAUGGGCGAAAGCCUGACGCAGCAACGCCGCGUGAAGGAUGAAGGCCUUCGGGUUGUAAACUUCUGUCAGGUGGAACGAACGAACAUUGGUGAAUAGCCAGUGUUCUUGACGGUACUACCAGAGGAAGCCCCGGCUAACUCCGUGCCAGCAGCCGCGGUAAUACGGAGGGGGCAAGCGUUAUUCGGAAUUAUUGGGCGUAAAGGGCGCGUAGGCGGCUUGAUAAGCCAAAGGUGAAAUCCCUCAGCUCAACUGAGGAACUGCCUUUGGAACUGUCUCGCUAGAGGCCGGGAGGGGGUAGCGGAAUUCCCAGUGUAGCGGUGAAAUGCGUAGAUAUUGGGAGGAACACCAGUGGCGAAGGCGGCUACCUGGACCGGUUCUGACGCUGAGGCGCGAAAGCGUGGGGAGCAAACAGGAUUAGAUACCCCCGUAGUCC
rnacentral:rRNA from 1 species